rnacentral:misc_RNA from 1 species
GGUUGCAUCGGCUCACUUGAAAUUCAUUAGCUGAAUCCUUUAAAGUAGGUUCUACUCGACGUGAUAAGAUCUCCGUCGAGGACAGUGCUUCGGCAUUGGCCAACGAUAAAGUUGAUACGCUUCUAAUUAGCGCAGACUUCGAGUGCUGGCAAUUUUGACAACUUGGCCUCAAAUCAGGUAGGACUACCCACUGAACUUAA